GCUGGGUUUCGAGCGCGACACCGCGACGGUCUUGAAAACCGUCGUGGCGCGAGUCACCGUGGGUUCAAAUCCCACACCCACCG
rnacentral:tRNA from 1 species